CUCUAUGGUCAUACCACCCUGAAGCACACCUGACCUGUCUGAUCUCGGAAGCUAAGCAGGGUCGGGCUGGGGUAGUACUUAGAUGGGAGACUAUAACAGAUAUAAGAGGAUGGUGGUAA
rnacentral:rRNA from 1 species